rnacentral:rRNA from 1 species
GGAGCAACCUGGCGACGAGUGGCGAACGGGUGAGUAAUAUAUCGGAACGUGCCCAGUAGUGGGGGAUAGCCCGGCGAAAGCCGGAUUAAUACCGCAUACGACCUAAGGGUGAAAGCGGGGGAUCGCAAGACCUCGCGCUAUUGGAGCGGCUGAUAUCAGAUUAGGUAGUUGGUGGGGUAAAGGCCUACCAAGCCGACGAUCUGUAGCUGGUCUGAGAGGACGACCAGCCACACUGGGACUGAGACACGGCCCAGACUCCUACGGGAGGCAGCAGUGGGGAAUUUUGGACAAUGGGCGAAAGCCUGAUCCAGCCAUGCCGCGUGCGGGAAGAAGGCCUUCGGGUUGUAAACCGCUUUUGUCAGGGAAGAAACGCUCUGAGCUAAUACCUCGGGGUAAUGACGGUACCUGAAGAAUAAGCACCGGCUAACUACGUGCCAGCAGCCGCGGUAAUACGUAGGGUGCAAGCGUUA